UAGCAGGCUGGCGGCCCCGUGGAGAUAGCCUCAUCCUUGAGCACCAGUGGGAGCUGGAGAAGCUGGAGCUCCUACAUGAGGUAUCCAGGGGCAGGGUUGCUCAGAUGCAAGAACUCUUGGACAAGAUUGCCAAAGUAUCAGUCUUCCUCCCCUCUGCUGCAUGUGAUCAUAGCUUUUCACUUUUCUCUCCUGAGGUCUUAACGAGCUUUGUGUUUGCUAUAGCAGUAGUAUUGAUCUUCUCAGGUGGAAAAAACCCGCCACUUUUUGCUGCUGCGUGAGAGACUUGGUGACAGCAUCCCCAAAUCCCUGAGCGACUCGUUAUCCCCCAGCCUCAGCAGUGGGACCCUCAGCACCUCCACCAGUAUCUCCUCUCAGAUCUCAACCACCACCUUUGAAAGCGCCAUCACACCCAGCGAGAGCAGUGGCUACGAUUCAGCAGACAUCGAAAGCCUGGUGGACCGAGAGAAAGAGCUGGCUACCAAGUGCCUGCAACUUCUCACCCACACUUUCAACAGAGAA
rnacentral:sRNA from 1 species